UUAAAAAAAACGUUAAUAGGGAGCAGAGAGAACAGGGACGUUUUUUGCGUUAUUUACGUUACAAAAUCGUGCUCUGUUCCGAUCUUUCAACUAUACGAACACUCAAAUUGAACCUACAGCGCCUUUUAAUAGUGACAUAUAUACAUCCAGGUGUUACUGUGUUUAGCCGUUACAAGCAGUUUUGAAAAUCUGCCUCUUCCGACAUCACAAGAUGGGAUGUCAAACUAAAUGUGUGCUGAAUAGAUCAGUCUACCAGCCUACCCAGUGGACUGCAGCAAAAGUUACUCAUCUCUCCGUCACACAUCUAGGUGGACACGCCCACUUGUGAUGUCAGAAGAGGCAGAUUUUCAAAACGGCUUCUAACGGCCAAUCACACUCACACCUGGUGGUAUAUGUAUUCUUUAAAACGAUUUAAUGCAUUUGGUUGUAGAAUCCUGAUUUUGCUGAAGAAUAUUUAUUGACUGUUUAUUGACUACUAUUAUUACUUUUGGUGAUUUACAUUUAAACUUUACAUUUUUUCAUAACUUCUCUCGGCUAUGACGACAUUUGGCACAUCUUAAUUCCCAUUCACCCUAUUAAUCUAUAUUGAUCUCCCAAAUCACUCAUCUACUACAUCCAACAUUGGGGAGAUGAAGUCAACCGUUAAUAAUUUGAAUUUGAAUUCAAGUAAAAUGUAAGUAAGUGUCUAAAAAAUGUAAAUAUAUUUGAGGUUGAAAAUAGCUUUAUUCAAAUCAUUUUUCUUUGGGCUGUCUGCCAAAGCAGAAGCUAGAACUUAGAAAUCCGGCAUCAGGAUUAUUAUAAUUCUUUGGAAACGUAGUUCUUCUCGCUCUUGACUGUGACCGCUACCACUCUACUAGUCAUUACAUGUGGUCCACGUCUGUCUUCUGCCUGGCAGGCCCACCUACUGGCUGGGGAAGGACACCCUGAGGGUGUCUGCCAAACUGUUUGCGGAGAAUCGCCGUCGGCUGUGCCAGGGGCUGGGUGCCGCCGGAGCGCCCCCAGGAGCGGUGGUCCUCUUGCAGGGCGGGGAGCAGAAGCAGCGGUACUGCACCGACACGGACGACGUCUUCAGACAGGAUCUAUCCCAUGGAGCACUUCAAAGAGAAAUAUGCUGUUGAUGUAAGUCCAUGUGAUAUUGCAGACACUGAUCAGCCUGGAUCCAGCCGUCCCGCUCACAUUGGUAUGUGACCUUCUGGGGGAACAUUGACCUUGGGAAGCGGCUGGGAAGCUCUCAGUUUGAAGGCAAUAACUGCUGCCUCACAUGGCCCCAAUUAUUCAUUCCUAUGAUUAUUCAUUAAUGUAAUCGUGCUUUGUUCAGACGGCUUCUGGGGGACUUUUACUGUGCAUACAGAUUGCGGGUGAUUACCUUCAUUU
rnacentral:lncRNA from 1 species